rnacentral:rRNA from 1 species
UACAGAGGGUGCUAGCGUUGUUCGGAAUUAUUGGGCGUAAAGGGCGCGUAGGCGGCCCUGUGUGUCGGGUGUGAAAGCCCACCUCUUAAAGGUGGAAUUGCAUUCGAAACUACAGGGCUGGAGUGUCGGAGAGGAUGGCGGAAUUCCUGGUGUAGAGGUGAAAUUCGUAGAUAUCAGGAGGAACACCGGUGGCGAAGGCGGCCAUCUGGACGACAACUGACGCUGAGGCGCGAAAGCGUGGGGAUCAAACAGGG